rnacentral:rRNA from 1 species
ACUCAAAUGAAUUGACGGGGGCCCGCACAAGCGGUGGAGCAUGUGGAUUAAUUCGACGCAACGCGAAGAACCUUACCAAGGCUUGACAUGGAAGCGCCAGGUGUAGAGAUACACCCUUACUUCGGUACGCUUCACACAGGUGGUGCAUGGUUGUCGUCAGCUCGUGUCGUGAGAUGUUGGGUUAAGUCCCGCAACGAGCGCAACCCCUAUGUUCAGUAGCCAGCGGGUAAAGCCGGGCACACUGGAGAGACUGCCGCGGAUAACGCGGAGGAAGGCGGGGACGACGUCAAAUCAUCAUGCCCCUUAUGUCUUGGGCUUCACACGUGCUACAAUGGCCGGAACAAAGUGAUGCAAAGGCGCAAGCCGGAGCGAACCACAAAAAAACGGCCUCAGUUCGGAUUGCAGGCUGCAACCCGCCUGCAUGAAGUUGGAAUCGCUAGUAAUCGCGAAUCAGCAUGUCGCGGUGAAUACGUUCCCGGGCCUUGUACACACCGCCCGU